GUUCUUGUAGCUUACAAAAAGCAUGGC
rnacentral:tRNA from 2 species